CAGUCGCCACGGUAAUACAGAGGGUGCGAGCGUUAAUCGGAUUUACUGGGCGUAAAGCGUGCGUAGGCGGCUUCUUAAGUCGGAUGUGAAAUCCCUGAGCUUAACUUAGGAAUUGCAUUCGAUACUGGGAAGCUAGAGUAUGGGAGAGGAUGGUAGAAUUCCAGGUGUAGCGGUGAAAUGCGUAGAGAUCUGGAGGAAUACCGAUGGCGAAGGCAGCCAUCUGGCCUAAUACUGACGCUGAGGUACGAAAGCAUGGGGAGCAAACAGGAUUAGAUACCCCCGUAGUCCCUGUCUCUUAUAA
rnacentral:rRNA from 1 species